rnacentral:lncRNA from 1 species
GACCUCCGAAGCCGUCUCCCGUGGGAGACUGUGCUUGGCCCGGACCGCGUCCCCAACCUGCCCGCCUGUCUGUCCCCACCCUCUUCAGCCCAGCCCUCAGCCUGCGCUCCGGCCCACCCGGGACCCUCCCAAUUCUCAGGGUCUCCAGCCCCACGACCUGGGCGCCUGCUGAGCGAAACGGACGCUUCAAAAUGCCGCUGAGCCACAAACUGUCGUUAUUCUGGCCAAUUGUACAACUUGUGCAGAAGCGAAAUACAGGUCCUUAAAAUGCUCUGCAAGAUGUCUUUUGUUCUGCAAACUGAGCCUCAGCCUCCUCGCAGAGGGAGGAGGGGUUCUCGGGCACCAGGGGCCGGCCUCGCUCCCGGCCUGGGCCUGCGGCCUGGGGAUGAAAAGAGGGGCUGCAGCCUCACGGCCGCGGCAGUGUCCCUCAUGUGGGGAGUGGCUUGAAAGAGGCACCUCGGUUGGGUGACAGCAAGGAUCCGUCACCCUGGCUUUGGAGCUGCAGUUCCUGCACGAGUCGAGGAGGGCCUCUUCUCUCUGGUCUGGAGUAGAAAGGCCUCACGCACAGGAGCCAGCUCUGCGCGGGCGAGGGGAAGGCCCUGGAGGUGUGCACAGGCCCUAGCUGGUCCCUGGUGCAGGAAGAGGAAAAGCUGCAGAAGACAGCGUCCACUCUUGAGAGUUCAGCGUCUCGCCGAGGACAAGCCUCCCCAGACAGAGGCAGCCCUGACGCAGAGAGGUGGGUGCUCCAGCGUCUUCAUGCAAAAGGUGUUUCAUCCGCAGGAUGCGCCGCAGGACAGGCUUCACCAGUUCCCUGGGGUGCCCAGGGCCAUGCCUGGUGGGUGAAACCCUCCUGCUUGAGCCAGAUGAGCAGGGGCCUCCCCAGGAAAGCAGGCUUGCUGAUGAAAAGAACGUGCGGGAGCAGCAUCAAUCAGGCUCCUUUGGAUGGAACUCAGCACACAGUACAGGUGAGGGGAUCCACGUGUGCUGCCUGCAUCUCAUCUCCAGGGCCAGCAGCUGUGGCUGCGACGGCAGGCCCACCCCCGGGGGCUUCUGGGAAGCUGACUUCAUUUCAGGGAGGGCAGGCAGAGAGAAGCCCUGAGUACCUGCACCCGCAUUCAGUCGCCUUCUCAGACUACUUUGUGGACAGAGGCAGCUGGAGUAACCAGAGGCUGGCUGGACCACGCGCUCUCUCGGAUUGUUGACAGCUGAUACCCACCUCAACAGCCCUGGCUUACACCUUAUCCAGCAACACCCCCGUCUUUUCUCACUCUACCCUGAGAAAAAGCCACUGGCUGUGGAUCCUAAAACUGGCUGGCGCCUGCGUGUGUUUUCUCCAGCCUGCCCCUCCCAGAGAAAGAGUAAGAAAUGGAAAACCACUCUUUUGCUUUUCCCCCUCCCUGUUUACGUUUUUAAUUGAAGUAUAAUUGAUUUACAGUGUUGUGUUAAUUUCUGCUCUACAGCAAAGCGAUUGUUUUAUAUACACUCUUUUCCAUUACGGUUUAUCUCAGGACAUUGAAUAUAUUUCCUUGUGCUGUAGAGUAAGACCUUGUUAUUUAUUCUUUAUAUAUAUAUAUUUUUUUUUUUUUGUCUUUUUGUUGUUAUUGUUGUUGUUGUUGUUGUUGCUAUUUCUUGGGCCGCUCCCGCUGCAUAUGGAGGUUCCCAGGCUAGGGUCGAAUCGGAGCUGUCGCCACUGGCCUACGCCAGAGCCACAGCAACGCGGGAUCCGAGCCGAAUCUGCAACCUACACCACAGCUCACGGCAACGCCGGAUCGUUAACCCACUGAGCAAGGGCAGGGACCGAACCCACAACCUCAUGGUUCCCAGUCGGAUUCGUUAACCACUGCGCCACAACGGGAACUCCUAUUCUUUAUAUAUUUUUGAUCUGCUAAUCCCAACCUUCCAAUGCAUCCCUCCCCCGCCACCCUCUCCCCCUUUGCAACCACAGGUUUGUUCUCCUUGUCCCUGAGUCUCUAUUUUGUAGAUGGGUUCAUUUGUGUCAUAUUUUAGACUCCACAUAUAUGUGAUAUCAUAUGGUAUUUAUCUUUGACUUGACUUAGUAUGAUCAUCUCUGCGUCUAUGCUGCUGCAAAUGGCAUAUUUUGUUUUUGUUUUGGCUGAGGCAUGCAGCAGCUUGAUGGGGAAUCUCAGUUCCCAGACCAGAGAUUGAACCUGGGCUGCAGCAGUGAAAGUGCCAAAUCCUAACCACUAGACCACCAGGGAACUCCCCAUUUCAUUCUUUUUUAAGGCUGGUAAUAAUCCAUUGCGUGUGCAUAUAUAUCUCAUCACAUCUUAAUCUCUUCAUCUCUUGAUGGAUAUUUAGGUUGUUUUCAUGUCUUGGAUAUUGUAAAUAGUGCUGCUUUGAACAUAGAGGUGCACGUAUCUUUUUCAAUUAUGGUUUUGUCCAAAUAUAUGCCCAGAAGUGGGACUGCUGGGUCAUAUAGUAAUUCUAUUUUUAGUUUUUUGAGGAACCUCUGUACUGUUUUCUGUAGUGGCUGCUUCAACUUACAUUCCCACUAACAGUGUGGAAGUGUUCCCUUUUCUCCACACCUUCUCCAGCAUUUAUUGUUUGUAGACUUUUGUGCGUGUGUGUGUGUGCUUUUUAGGGCCACAUCUGUGGCAUUUGAAGUUCCUAGGCCAGGGGUUGAAUCUGAACUGGAGCCACCAUCCUCCACCACAGCCAUGGCAAAGUCCGAUCCAAGCUGUGUCUUCAUCCUAUGGCACAGCUCAGGGCAAUCCACUGACCAAGGCCAGGGAUCAACCCCCCAUUGUCAUGGAUAUUAGUCAGGUUCAUUUCUGCUGAGCCACACUGGGAACUCCCUGUUUGUAGACUUUUUGAUGAUGGCUGUUCUCACUGGUGUGAAGUGGUACCUCAUUGUGUUUUGGAUUUGCAUUUCUGUAAUAAUUAGUGAUGGAGUUCCUGUCGUGGCUCAGUGGCUAAUGAAUCUGACUAGGAACCAUGAGGUUUUGGGUUCGAUCCCUGGCCUUGCUCAGUGGGUUAAGGAUGCGGUGUUGCUAUGAGCUGUGGUGUAGGUCUAAGACAUGGCUGGGAUCUGAUGUUGCUGAGGCUGGGUGUAGGCCAGCAGCUGUAGCUCCGAUUAGACCCCUAGCCUGGGAACCUCCAUAUGCCGCGGGUACAGCCCUAGAAAAGCCAAUAUAAUAAUAAUAAUAAAUUUUUAAAAAUGAGUGAUGUUGAGCA